rnacentral:rRNA from 1 species
CAUGCAAGUCGAACGAAGCGCUUAAAUGGAUUUCUUCGGAUUGAAGUUUUUGCGACUGAGUGGCGGACGGGUGAGUAACGCGUGGGUAACCUGCCUCAUACAGGGAGAUAACAGUUAGAAAUGACUGCUAAUACCGCAUAAGCGCACAGUGCUGCAUGGCACAGUGUGAAAAACUCCGGUGGUAUGAGAUGGACCCGCGUCUGAUUAGCUGGUUGGUGGGGUAACGGCCUACCAAGGCGACGAUCAGUAGCCGGCCUGAGAGGGUGAACGGCCACAUUGGGACUGAGACACGGCCCAAACUCCUACGGGAGGCAGCAGUGGGGAAUAUUGCACAAUGGGGGAAACCCUGAUGCAGCGACGCCGCGUGAGCGAAGAAGUAUUUCGGUAUGUAAAGCUCUAUCAGCAGGGAAGAAAAUGACGGUACCUGACUAAGAAGCACCGGCUAAAUACGUGCCAGCAGCCGCGGUAAUACGUAUGGUGCAAGCGUUAUCCGGAUUUACUGGGUGUAAAGGGAGCGUAGACGGUUGUGUAAGUCUGAUGUGAAAGCCCGGGGCUCAACCCCGGGACUGCAUUGGAAACUAUGUAACUAGAGUGUCGGAGAGGUAAGCGGAAUUCCUAGUGUAGCGGUGAAAUGCGUAGAUAUUAGGAGGAACACCAGUGGCGAAGGCGGCUUACUGGACGAUCACUGACGUUGAGGCUCGAAAGCGUGGGGAGCAAACAGGAUUAGAUACCCUGGUAGUCCACGCCGUAAACGAUGACUACUAGGUGUCGGGGAGCAAAGCUCUUCGGUGCCGCAGCAAACGCAAUAAGUAGUCCACCUGGGGAGUACGUUCGCAAGAAUGAAACUCAAAGGAAUUGACGGGG